CUGGGCAUCUAUCCAGAGAAAACCACGACUCGCAAAGACACAUGUACUCCAAUGUUCAUUGCAACACUAUUUACAAUAGCCAAGACAUGGAAACAACCUAAAUGUCCAUCGACAGAGGAGUGGAUCAAUAGGAUGUGGUACAUAUACACAAUGGAAUAUUACUCAGCCAUUAAAAAGAAUGAAAUACCAGCAUUUUUUGCAACAUGGAUGGACCUAGAAACUAUCAUGCUAAGUGAAGUCAGCCAUACAAUGAGACACCAACAUCAAAUGCUUUCACUGACAUGUGGAAUCUGAAAAAAGGACAGACGGAACUUCUUUGCAGAAUAGAUGCUGACUCACAGACAUUGAAAAACUUAUGGUCUCCGGAGGAGACAGUUUGGGGAGUAGGGGGAUAUGCUUGGGCUGUGGGAUGGAAAUCUUGUGAAAUCAGAUUGUUAUGAUCAUUAUACAACUAUAGAUAUGAUAAAUUCAUUUGAGUAAUAAAAAAGUAAAAAAAUAAAUUAAAAAAACAUGUAUUUAUAUUGUUUGAAUUAUUAUGAAAAUAUUCAAAAUAUUUCUAAAUUAGCUAAAGAAAAACAUAUGAGUCAAACAGAUCUUCACUCCUCCCUCUUUCCCUCCCUCAUGCCUCCUCUCCUCCUUCUCUCUUUCUCUCCUACCAUGUGCCAAGACUGCACCUUUAGUAAGCUCUGGUGAGUUUUAUUUAUUGGGAUAUGGGUCAGGUGAUGUUUAGAUUGGGACCCAUCAUCAUCAUCUCUAGGAGGUACAUGGGACCCCUGGCUUUCUGCUCUCACUCAUCACCCUUUAACACAGCCCCUGUGAGAUCCGACCCACUCUCCAACCAUGAAGCUAAUCUCCCAUCCUGCCUUCUCCCUCACCCUCCAUUAUGCCACAUCUGCAGUUGCCAAGGGCAACACUCUUUGGAUGACAUUUUAGCUUUCACACUCAACAUGCCCACUCUGAAUCUAUCUUCUUCUAACUCUCCCACAUCCAUGAGAUCUAGCUCUAUUUUCCCUUAGUAACAUCUCCCACAUUUGGUCCUCAUUCUUCAUCUAGACCAUCACAUCCCCCAUAAUGGGGAAUGGAUCUCAAGGGCCAUUUGGCCUCAUCCUCUGCCAUCACACCCCACAGGUGCUCCAGCAGCUCCAGGAGCAGGGAAAGUAGGCUCCACUGCUGAGAGCUCAAGGUGCUAUGUGUUGGCUUGAGACACCACCUGCCUCCAUGAUUUUCCCACCUUCUGCCUUCUAGCCCCAUGGAACAAAUGGGGUCUCUGAUGAAAUUUAAAGCACAUCCUGCCAUCUCUGACACCAUUCAAAUCUGCAUGUGACAUUGUUGAUACCAUCCUUCCCAGGUCAGCCCCUCUGCAAAAUACUCUCCAGAUGAAGGCCCUGAUUUGGAUGUGAGCUAAGGGUGCAUUACCCUGGGAAGCAGUCCCCUUCCUGAACAUUCCAGGACCCCUCCCCAGAGGCCUGGGCUGCAGUUACAAAGCUGAUCUCUGGGGAGAAAGUGCAUGGCAACGAAAAUACCUUGGCUCUCAAUAGCAUUUGAUAGCAACGUGGAUCACUUCUGAUGGGGCCCAGGUUUUCCAUUUUUAUAAUUUUAAAUCUUUCCGUGGAGGGCAGUAAUAUCAACUGAGAAUUAUCUGAGAAUGCCAAAAUAUACAGCAGUUUCUUUUUUAAAGUAGAGUAACUUUAAAAAAAAACAAAACAAAAAAACCCAGUAUAUUUUCCCAUACUACCUGUGAUGGUUAAUUUUAUAUGCUAAAUUUUAUAGAUCACAGUACCCUGAUAUGUGGUCAAACACCAGUCUGGAUGUUGCUGUGAAGGUACUUUUUAGAUGAGAAGUUACUUUUUAGAUGACCACACCCUGAUAUGUGGUCAAAUGUCAGUCUGGAUGAUGCUGUGAAGGUACUUCUUAGAUGAGAGUAACAUUUGAAUCAGUAGACUUUGAAUAAAGUAGCUCACCUUCUAUAAUAUCAGGGUUGGGGAAGGAGGAAGAAAUCUGAUUCAGUCAUUUGAAGGCCUGAGAAAGAGACUGACUUCCCCAAGGAAGAAGGGAGUCUGCUUCCAGCAUUUAGACUCAAGCUUCAAAAUUAACUAUUUCCUGGGUUUCAAUCUACUUCUCUGUCCUGAAGAUUUUGGACUUGUCAGCCUCCGUAGGCACACAAGCUAAUUCCUUAAAAUCAAUCAAUCUGUGUGGGGGAGGGGUGCAUGUGUUUGUCUUGCUGUCUGUUUCUCUCUCUGUCUCUCUGUCUUUGUCUGUCUAAUUAGAUAUAUGGAUAUAUAGAUAAAUGUAUUUAUAUGACUCUAUUUCUAUCUGCCUAUCUAUCCAUGCUAUUGCUUCUGUAUACCUGGAGAGCCCUGACUGACAGACUACCCUUAAGAGAUCUUUUGAAUUACAAUUAAGAAGUAUAUGCUCAUUUUUUUCCUUUAUAACUUGAUGCAUUACAAUAAUAACCACUUCUCUCACCUUUUUUGCUCUCAUAAACCCUGUAGAAGGGUUGAAGCUCAAAUAUGAACACUAACAAGGGCUCAUUAUGUAUAUUCAAGGGCUCAAGAGAUUUCUCCCUUCUACCCGUCUUUGUUCCUAUACCAUGUAUAUAUAUCUCACACAUUUUAAAGAGAAAUAUAGAGGUAAUUUUUAUUUCCAGAAAAAAACCAAUUUAUAUACAUGAGAAGUCAUUUAUUGAAAUGAAGGAUGGGAGAGUGUGAAACAAAAUAAAACCAAAUGGGUUAAAAAUGCUUCUAACACAUUUCAAAGAAAUCUAAGGGUUUUUUAUUCAUUUCCCUCUAUGGAAUAUAGUCAUUCCUUUAAUUAAUAAAGAUUAGCUGAGUUUUCUUCAUGGAAAUCUCUGCUAUGGGUCCUGGUAGGGUCUAAUGGCAUGAUCUGGACCCAAGGAGCGUGUCCAUCAUGGCUUGGAGACCAUGGGAUGUGCAAGAUCCGCACAUAAAUAACAAGGCUGCGACCAGGACUGGAAAGAGGAGAAAAGUAUACAGUGGUGUGUGGUGUGAGACAGCUCCUAUGGGUGCUGUAUAGAGGGAUGGGGAUGGAGUGGAAAACUCUUUCCAAAAGGAACAGCCAACAGGUACAUGGGCCCAAGGCCCAGGGUGUAUGGGUGGUGCAGGGAGCAAUAAUAACAGCUGUCUGGAUGCAGCGUAAAAGUCAUGCUGGGAGAAGCAGUAAAAUGGAAGGUGGGGAGUAACUGAGACCAGGUGUGGCCUGGUGGUGCAGCAUUUAGGCCUUUUGCCACAGAACUAUGCUCAUGGAUUACAGAAGUUCAAGUCGGCCACAUUCUUCUGCAAUUGCACAAAAGAGGUUCCAGUUUUAACGGGUAUCUGGUAAGACGUUCCUGAAGUAACUUCUCCCAAUUCUCCCCCAAAAUGCCCAUGAAAACAAGUUAUAAAAUGACAGAAACUCACAUGAUUCAAGAUGAGAAAACAGUCAACUGACCACCCUAAGUGGCGGGAAAUUUCCCCCCAAACAGGUCGAUGUGAUGAGAUCCAGCAGCAUGUUUUUCCAGCCUGUUCUUUUUUUUUUAAAGUAUAAACAAAGCAAACUCUUUUCCAAUAAAAGGAAAGAUAGUAUUCAGGAACCUUCCCUCACUGUCUGUUAUCUACUCAGAAACAUAAGAACCGUACCCACAAAAAAACUGAACUGCAAAAUUACUGUUGAAUUUUGAGUUAGUCAGAGGGCUGUUUCCCACCCAUUAGCAUAUGCCUCAUCUUUGCCUUGUCCUUUAUGUACAGUGGAGCUGCCAGACUCCCAGGGUCUGAGGGAUGGGCAAUCAGAACAAGUCACACUGCAUCCUGGGAAAUACAGCCUCUGCCAUUUCUUACUCUCCAUCAGUGGCUCCAGUUCUUGACUUUCUUCCUCCUGUGGUACCCACAUAGGCAAGUUCUCUGCUCACACACCCUGUGUUCCAGGAGGGCAUAGUUCAACACCCACUCAUGACAAAUAUUUUCAACAAUCUCAAGUGGAAAGGAAAUUCUUUAGAAAAAAAACUCUACAGAAAACAUCAUACUUCUGGUAAAUCAUUGAAAGUUUUCUUACUGACAUUGUACAUAAGACAAGGAUUCUAGCUAUUACCAUUUCAAGUGAAACUUAUGAUGGAAAUUGGCAUGGGGGGGGUCAGAAGUCAGCAUAGUGGUCACUCAAAGGGCAGUGAGGGAUGGAAGAGGAGAGGUACUCACAGAGUUUUGUAAAAUCUGUUUCUGGAUCUGAUUUGGGUUAUAGGGGAUAUUCCCUUUGUGAAAAUUCUUCAGAAUAAACACUUAGGAUUUGUGCUGACUUGGAAAAAACCUCCAAGAUGUAUUGGUGUGUGAAAAAAGGUGAACUGCAGAACCAUACAUGCCACAUGACCCCAUUUGUGGAUAUGUGCAAGUAUUAAAAUUUUUAAAAAAUGAGAAAGUGAUUGGUAAAAGGAAAAUUUUACUUUUUAUUCUUACAUAAUUCAGCUUGUUUAUAGCAAAACUAUAUUUAUGUUUUACUUAAAUAAAAUCAAUUUCAAUAUUUUCUAAAUGGAGGCAGAAGAGAGCCUACUCUGUUUUCAUAGACUUGUGCAGGGUGGCGAGCCUAGGGGGAACAGAGCCUUGCCUUUGCUGGCAGGGUCCUGCUGUAGGAGGGGGACAGGGAACCAGGGGCAAUCAGGGCUCCACCUCCAGCGCCACCUUCUGGGCACUGGGUGAUUUUGGCAAGUGGCUUAGACAGGGACUUGCUGUCCUUGUGCAGAAAGAAAGAAGGGGAAAACAACGAGGUAAACAACCUAGUUCUGCUGUGUGGAAUCUGGCUUUCUCCAUCUUUCACUCCAUCCUGUCCCUGCAGCCCGCCCCCUCCCUGUGUGGGACUUGAGCAAAUGUUUGUGGGAGAAUUAGACUACUCGACUCAACGUUGACUUUCUGUCAACUUCCAUUUCAUCCUAAAGCCAGAGAGCAAUGACCUUGAGGGGUAUGGUUUUAAGAGGUGCUGUUAACUCUGGACGAAAUGGGGAGCUGGUUCCUGCACGGUCUGGGGGAAGAGUACCCCCCUCCCCCAGAUCUUCAUUUCCCUGACAGCUUUUCAAGACACAGUUGCUAUUUGUCCUUUGGUGCCUGAGUGGGGAGACAAAGUCUGAGACCAUAACUUUAACAGGGAAAAACUACAAACAAAUAGCAAGGAAUAAAUCCAAGUUUAAAAAUAAACAGUCUGCACAGUUAACUCUUCAGGGCAAUGUAUUGGUGAGUGAGCUGAGUGACGGAUCACCCAGCUGCCUACAGCCAGCAGAAUGCUUUCUUAUCAGCCUCACUAAUUGUUCAGAUGGAGAUAGAACACACUUCCCUCCAGAAUGGACCCACUCAGUGGACCUUAGAGCUUACCCUUGUCACCUAGUUUACAUUUAUCUAAUUCCCCCAUCCCCGCCUUGGAAUACAGUUCCAAACCCAAGCCCCCAGCUAGCACACGGGGACUUACGUUAGCAUCCACCCUCUUACUGUGGCUACCUGGGGCUGCAUCGGGCUGCGUGUGUCCCAUCAUUACCAUCGCCUGCAUCUCCUUAACUACAGCUGAGAUUAAUGUCAUCUUGGGGAGCAGAAGCCCUUGCAGUAGUCAGCAGGGGCCGUAAAGGAGCAGAUGCCUCCCCCUCCAGUCACGUACUGCACUCGGUUGAGGCCAAGCCUUUGGUGAGUUGUCAAAAGGCAUCACUACCUCUUAUUUGGAUGGGUCUUCAUUAAUCCUUCAUUGGAGAUUUAAUUGGCACCACCUUAGGGCACCGUGUGUUUAUAAAAUGAUAUACAACUUCAGACAUUCAUUAGCACUGUCAGUGCCUUUGGAAUGAUAAAUAGCAGGAAGGCUCAGUCGAAAUGCUUCUGGAGCUAAUCCCAAAUUAACUUUUCUCUACCCUGCCAAGAAGAAAUAUGAGAGCAGUGAAGGUUUUAUGAUAGCCCAUAAUCUCAUGAUUAAACAAGCGGCUGAGAAAAAAAAUGGGACAAUGCAUUAUGUUUUAAUUGAAAUCCAGGAAUCAAAAUAAACACCAGUGUCUCAGAGCCCUUCUGGUGACAAGGCCUAAUGCUCCUACAUUUUAACACUAAACCCCAGUGCCACACACAAUGUGCUGAGUGCGGAGUCUGUCACCAAAGCAUACUCAGCCCUACCCAGGGCUCGUAUCUGUGCGUUUAUUUUUUGAUCAGGAUAAAUGGGCUGUUUCCAAGACUCCGUUUCUACACGUCCUCCUCACUCCAACAGUUGCCCAAAUUAAACCUUUGGAAUUCUACGGGUAGAUAAGGUUUAACUUUACCGACAAGAAAAUAACUCAAUUCCAUUAGGGGAACCACCCCAGUCUGGAGAAAAUAUGAGAGGGAUUGGAGUGUCUUUAGUUGAACACCAAGGAGAGGAAGCAAAGGUAGGAAGAAGCUGUUGUUUGCACUCUGGAGAGUUAUGUAAACUGGAGCUUAACUUUCCCUCCAGACCACCCAGUUUUAUCUCUUUAGGAAAACAUUAGCACAUUGGAAAUGCCUGGAGAAUCUCUGGAAGCCUCUUUGGAAUUAACAAGAAGAGGCUCCCAUUUCAUGGUCCAUGAACAGAAGAUGAACCAGCACACU
rnacentral:lncRNA from 1 species